rnacentral:rRNA from 1 species
GAUGAACGCUAGCGGCAGGCUUAACACAUGCAAGUCGAGGGGUAUUGGUUUUCGGACCAAGAGACCGGCGCACGGGUGCGUAACGCGUAUGCAAUCUACCUUUUGCAGAGGGAUAGCCCAGAGAAAUUUGGAUUAAUACCUCAUAGUAUAGUACUUUGGCAUCAAGGAACUAUUAAAGUCACAACGGCAAAAGAUGAGCAUGCGUCCAUUAGCUAGUUGGUAAGGUAACGGCUUACCAAGGCUACGAUGGGUAGGGGUCCUGAGAGGGAGAUCCCCCAACUGGUACUGAGACACGGACCAGACUCCUACGGGAGGCAGCAGUGAGGAAUNUUGGACAAUGGGGCNCAAGUCCUGAUCCAGCCA